rnacentral:rRNA from 1 species
GAUGAACGCUGGCGGCGUGCCUAAUACAUGCAAGUCGAGCGAACAGACGAGGAGCUUGCUCCUCUUACGUUAGCGGCGGACGGGUGAGUAACACGUGGAUAACCUACCUAUAAGACUGGGGUAACUUCGGGAAACCGGAUCUAAUACCGGAUAAUAUAUUGAACCGCAUGGUUCAAUAGUGAAAGACGGUUUUGCUGUCACUUAUAGAUGGAUCCGCGCCGCAUUAGUUAGUUGGUAAGGUAACGGCUUACCAAGGCAACGAUGCGUAGCCGACCUGAGAGGGUGAUCGGCCACAAUGGAAAUGAGACCAGGUCCAGACUCCUACGGGAGGCAGCAGUAGGGAAUCUUCCGAAAUGGGCGAAAGCCUGAAGGAGCAAAGCCGCGUGAGUGAUGAAGGUCUUCGGAUCGUAAAACUCUGUUAUUAGGGAAGAACAAAUGUGUAAGUAACUAUGCACGUCUUGACGGUAACUAAUAAGAAAGCCACGGCUAAAUACGUGC